CCUACGGGAGGCUGCAGUAGGGAAUAUUGCGCAAUGGGGGAAACCCUGACGCAGCAACGCCGCGUGAGUGAGGAAGGUCUUCGGAUUGUAAAACUCUUUUAUCUGGGAAAAAUGUGUAUGGAGCUAAUACCCCAUGCAGUGAUGGUACCAGAUGAAUAAGCACCGGCUAACUUCGUGCCAGCAGCCGCGGUAAUACGAAGGGUGCAAGCGUUAUUCGGAAUCAUUGGGCGUAAAGCGCGCGCAGGCGGAUUUGUAAGUCAGGUGUGAAAUCUCGGGGCUCAACCCCGAAACUGCGCCUGAAACUACAAGUCUAGAAUGUCGGAGGGGGCAGGGGAAUUUCACGUGUAGGGGUAAAAUCCGUAGAGAUGUGAAGGAACACCGGAGGCGAAGGCGCCUGCCUGGACGACUAUUGACGCUGAGGCGCGAAAGCGUGGGGAGCAAACAGGAUUAGAUACCCGAGUAGUC
rnacentral:rRNA from 2 species